rnacentral:rRNA from 1 species
CAUUGGUUCUAUUUUGUUGGUUUACGGACCGACGUAAUGAUUAAUAGGAACAGUUGGGGACAUUCAUAUUCCGCGGCUAGAGGUGAAAUUCUUGGAUUCGUGGAAGAUGAACUAGUGCGAAAGCAUUUGUCAAAGAUGUUUUCAUUGAUCAAGAACGAAAGUUAGGGGAGCAAAGACGAUCAGAUACCGUCGUAGUCUUAACUAUAAACGAUGCCGACUAGGGAUCGGUGGGAGUUACAUUAAUGACUCCAUCGGCACCUCAUGGGAAACCAAAGUCUUUGGGUUCCGGGGGGAGUAUGGUCGCAAGGCUGAAACUUAAAGGAAUUGACGGAAGGGCACCACCAGGAGUGGAGCCUGCGGCUUAAUUUGACUCAACACGG